rnacentral:rRNA from 1 species
CCACGCUGCCAAGAAAAGCGUCUAGAGAGAGAAGUAGUGCCCGUACCGCAAACCGACACAGGUAGGUGAGGAGAGAAUCCUAAGGCCGGCGGAAGAAUUACAGUUAAGGAACUCGGCAAAUUGACCCCGUAAGUUCGCGAGAAGGGGUGCCUACGAGAGUAGGCCGCAGAGAAUAGGCCCAAGCAACUGUUUAGCAAAAACACAGGUCUCUGCUAAAGCGUAAGCUGAUGUAUAGGGGCUGACGCCUGCCCGGUGCUGGAAGGUUAAGGGGAACACUUAGCGCAAGCGAAGGUGUGAACUUAAGCCCCAGUAAACGGCGGCCGUAACUAUAACGGUCCUAAGGUAGCGAAAUUCCUUGUCAGGUAAGUUCUGACCCGCACGAAUGGCGUAAUGACUUGGGCACUGUCUCAACUGUAAAUCCGGCGAAGUUGUAGUGCGAGUGAAGAUGCUCGCUACCCGCGAUUGGACGGAAAGACCCCGUAGAGCUUUACUGUAGCUUAGCAUUGAGUUUUGGUAUUGUCUGUACAGGAUAGGUGGGAGACUAGGAAACCAGGGCGUCAGCCUUGGUGGAGUCAACCUU